CUUUUGAACCCUUGUCACCUAACUGCCUCCCUCCCUCCUGACCUUCCGGCUCCAGCAGGAGUUGUUCACAUGUCUCUCCUGCAGGGGGCGCUUGGGCAGGGUUUUACCCUUGUGGCUCAUGGAUCUAGAUUAGGAUACAUCUCUGAAGUGUAGCGAUGCCGAACUCUCCGGACGUGCUGGGGACUGAACCCAGGACCUUGCGCUUCCUAGUCAUUGAAGCUACAGACUGUGUCCAUCAAGUGACCUGGUCCAGAGGAUAUUCCACAGGGUGCAUUCCUGGCCAGUGCCCCUGGUCUAGUAAGUGGAAGCCCGAGAACAGCAAGACUUCAUCUUCUACAGAAUCCAGGGUGUCCAUAUUUGCAUGCAUCCUCUAGCCUUUGGAAGUUCUGAGCCUUCAUCUGGUGAACCCUGAAGAGUCCUUGUGACUUCACAAUGGGGUUCUCUUUCCGAGCAUCACCUAGGACUGUGCAGGAACACUGAAAGGCUUGAUAACUGGUUCUGGUUAUACAUUAGUUUUCCUCAGAUGAUAACAGAAGCUUGGAAAUAGAUACAAACAGCAUCCUCUGUAAACUCUCCUGUGGAUAUGACCGACGUAUGUGCGUAUGUGGAUAUUACUCCUCACUGACAUGUUCCAGAGAUAUGCCUCCUUCUCUCAGAAAAGAUUCCUUUGCCUGAAACCAGUACCAGACAUGGACCCAACAGUAAUGACAAAAAUAUAGAACAGUGUCCCUGAUGAGCACAGGUGGGAAAGAAAUCCUUCAUAGAAUACUUGCAGAUCUGAGAACAUAUCCAGUCAUCCUUCAAGGUGAAGUGCACCUGUACUGUUUGGAAGUUGUGGCCACGUCAUCUUUCAUGAUUGGGCAAGCCUGCUUUUGUACACAAAAGAAACGCACACCUAAUAAAGUUAAGUUCAUUUUCUGGGCAAAGGCACUCACUAAAUCCUCAGAAACCUGAAGAACACAGCCUGUAGUGACUUCAAAGACUUUCUUGCUGGGCUUCAGUUUUCUCGGAGCCAAGGCAGUCACAGGAUUCUGGCCAACAAAAGAAGCUGUUCUCAGAACCACAGACUAUGGUUCCUGGUGAAUUUCCACACAAGGCAUUGGAACCAUGUUGUUGUGGAAGAAAGGAGUCAUUGAUGAAGUUCACCAAGGUCUUAUGGUAAAAGCCUCUUAAAUGAAUAAUAAUAAUAAGAAGAAGAAGAAGAAGAAGAAGAAGAAGAAGAAGACGAGGAGGAGGAGGAGGAAGAAGAGGAAGAGAAGGAGGAAGAAGAGAGGAG
ensembl:lncRNA